rnacentral:rRNA from 1 species
UACAGAGGUCCCGAGCGUUGUUCGGAUUCAUUGGGCGUAAAGGGUGCGUAGGUGGCGCUGUAAGUGGGGUGUGAAAUCCCGGGGCUUAACCCCGGGACUGCAUUCCAUACUGCGGUGCUUGAGGACUGGAGAGGAGACUGGAAUUUACGGUGUAGCAGUGAAAUGCGUAGAGAUCGUAAGGAAGACCAGUGGCGAAGGCGGGUCUCUGGACAGUUCCUGACGCUGAGGCACGAAGGCCAGGGGAGCAAACGGG